rnacentral:lncRNA from 1 species
CUCAUCAAUCUCACAACAACAACAACAAAAUGUCUAAAACAUCAAUCCUUUUACCUUUUCUUCUCCUAAUCAUAUUUGUCUCUACAUCUCAAGCAAAGCGUCAACUCUGGGAUGGUGGUUUACUCGGAUCCAAAUCCGGGGUUAAUAGGAUUCCUGGAUUUAAAGGAAAUGUAGAUUGGAUGAAUCCAACACAUACGUGCACAAUGCAAGGACCUUGUCGUGGUAAGAAGCUCACGUGUCCCGCAGAUUG